AACAGUACUACUCACUCUUCUCCUUUUCAUUUUUCCUUCUUUUCCUCCAUUGUACCACUACCUUUGCUCAGACGUCACCAGCUGCAACCCCAGCACAGGCACCAGCUGUAGUUGUAGCACAACCUCCAGCUGCAACCCCGACACAGGCAGCUCAACCACACGGCAUCACAAACGUCACCAAAAUCCUUGAGAAGGCUGGCCAUUUCACGAUCUUUAUUCGCCUUUUGAGAUCCACCCAAGAGGAAAACCACUUAUUCUCCGCACUUAAUGAUUCAAGCUC
rnacentral:lncRNA from 1 species